rnacentral:rRNA from 1 species
UGGGGAAUUUUGGACAAUGGGGGAAACCCUGAUCCAGCCAUCCCGCGUGUGCGAUGAAGGCCUUCGGGUUGUAAAGCACUUUUGGCAGGAAAGAAACGUCAUGGGUUAAUACCCCGUGAAACUGACGGUACCUGCAGAAUAAGCACCGGCUAACUACGUGCCAGCAGCCGCGGUAAUACGUAGGGUGCAAGCGUUAAUCGGAAUUACUGGGCGUAAAGCGUGCGCAGGCGGUUCGGAAAGAAAGAUGUGAAAUCCCAGGGCUUAACUUUGGAACUGCAUUUUUAACUACCGGGCUAGAGUGUGUCAGAGGGAGGUGGAAUUCCGCGUGUAGCAGUGAAAUGCGUAGAUAUGCGGAGGAACACCGAUGGCGAAGGCAGCCUCCUGGGAUAACACUGACGCUCAUGCACGAAAGCGUGGGGAGCAAACA